UACGUAGGGUGCAAGCGUUAAUCGGAAUUACUGGGCGUAAAGCGUGCGCAGGCGGUUGUGCAAGCCAGAUGUGAAAUCCCCGGGCUCAACCUGGGAAUGGCAUUUGUGACUGCAAGGCUUGAGUGCGGCAGAGGAGACUGGAAUUCCUGGUGUAGCAGUGAAAUGCGUAGAUAUCAGGAGGAAUACCGAUGGCGAAGGCAGGUCUCUGGGCUGACACUGACGCUCAUGCACGAAAGCGUGGGGAGCAAACAGG
rnacentral:rRNA from 1 species